UCGAGAAUCUUCCGCAAUGGACGCAAGUCUGACGGAGCGACGCCGCGUGAUGGAUGAAGUCCUUCGGGACGUAAACAUCUUUUAUGAGGGAUGACUAUUCGACAGUACCUCAUGAAUAAGGGGCUCCUAACUCUGUGCCAGCAGGAGCGGUAAUACAGAGGCCCCAAGCAUUACCCGGAAUCACUGGGCGUAAAGGGUGCGUAGGUGGCGCUAUUAGUCCUCUUUUAAAUCUUCCGAGCUCAACUCGGAAAAUCGAGGGGAAACGGUAGCGCUCGAGGAUGUACGAGGUAUGUGGAACUCUAGGUGUAGGGGUGAAAUCCGUUGAUAUCUAGGGGAACACCAAAUGCGAAGGCAGCAUACUGGGACAUUCCUGACACUGAGGCACGAAAGCGUGGGUAGCGAAAAGGAUUAGAUACCCCCGUAGUCC
rnacentral:rRNA from 1 species